UACGAAGGGGGCGAGCGUUGUUCGGAUUUACUGGGCGUAAAGGGCGCGUAGGCGGCCUUGUCAGUCAGGCGUGAAAGCCCCGGGCUCAACCUGGGAACGGCGCUUGGGACGGCGAGGCUGGAGUUCGGGAGAGGAGAGUGGAAUUCCCAGUGUAGAGGUGAAAUUCGUAGAUAUUGGGAAGAACACCGGUGGCGAAGGCGGCUCUCUGGACCGACACUGACGCUGAUGCGCGAAAGCUAGGGGAGCGAACGGG
rnacentral:rRNA from 1 species